GGGGCACAAGCUCCGAAAGCAACACAUACCAACUGAAACAAGCCCAAAGACUACAAAACAUCCAAGUCAUACUGAAGGUGGCUAAAGACGAUAUUGCAGACAUUGUCUUAUUAUGGGAUUUAAGUUUUAAUUUACUUCUUUGCUGUAAAUUCCCCUUUCAGAACACAUCUUGGUCUGAAUGUCCUUCUUGUGAAUUUUCUUUUCUGGCACAGUUUAUGAACUGUGAAGUUUAUGUAGAUGUUCCAUGCAUUUAUAGCAUAUAUCUCGAGAAAUUUAUGUAAUUAUGUACCGCGCAUGUGUAGCGGAUAUGUCGUGAAGGUUAUGUACAAGUACCUUGCAAGUAUAGCGAAUGCGUGGUGAAGGUUAUGUGCAUGUACCGUGCAUAGGUCGUGAAGGUUAUAACCAAGUACCGUGCAUGUUUAGUGACAGUGUCGUCAAGGUUAUGUGCAUGUACCGUGCAUGUAUAGUGAAUGUGUCGUGAAGAUUAUGUGCAAGUACCGUGCAAGUAUAGCGAAUGUGUGGUGAAGUUUAUGUGCAAGUACCGUGCAUGUAUAGUGGAUGUGUCGUGAAGGUUAUGUGCAAGUACCGUGCAGAUAUAGUGAAGGUUAUGCGCAAGUACCGUGCGUGUAUAGUGGAUGUGUCGUGAAGGUUAUGUGCCAGUACCGUACCUGUAUAGUGAAUGUGUCGUGAAGGUUAUGUGCAAGUACCGUGCAGGUAUAGUGAAGGUUAUGUGUAAGUACCGUGCCUGUAUAGUGGAUGUGUCGUGAAGGUUAUGUGCAAGUACCGUGCAGGUAUAGUGAAUGUGUCGUGAAGGUUAUGUGCAAGUACCGUGUACGUAUUGU